AAUGCAGCGUAAAUUCAAAUGAAAUUUAAAUGUUUUUAUUAAAUAAAUACAUUGUAGAUAUAACUAAGCUAAGCUAACUGGAUUGGAGGCUAGGAACUGUUCUGCAAAGGUCUUUACUUCAUUUUUCUGUGCUUUAAAGAAAAGGGUUUACAUCGUCUGUGAUCUUUGAAAUCUAUACACCCCUCUUGAGAGGCCAUGCCCAUUCCUCUCUCCAUUAGGCGGAAAAACCUCUUGAACGGGCGAAAUAUACACAACGAUCGCUGUCCGCGCACGCUAGUUCUCACUGUAACUCUGUUUUUUUCUAUGAAGGGAACCAGGCUAUUAUAAGGAUAUUUGUUACAAGAGCAGCGCAGAAAAGUAUUAAAGCACACAAUUUUAAAGUUGGAAAAGCUUAGCAAGGCGAACAUCCAUCCGAGUCGAGUUGGGCGUUGUGUAUCUGUAUCUAUGAAAGGUAAAUGAACGUGUUUGUGGUUGAAUUCAUUUUCGUCGGGUAAAAGUUGCGUACAUGCUCGGUCUGCGUGUGUGUGUGAGUGUGUGCGUGUGUGUGUGUGCGCGUUUGUGUGUGUGUGUGCGAGUGCGUAUCUAUGUGUGUGCCUGCUGUUGGUUGGCAAUUAAGCCAAUGAAGCAUUAAAAACACCAGCCAAGGGCGUAAGCCAUGCAAAGUGAACUGGCAUCUGGACUGG